AAGAGUUAGGUAAAUCCGGCUCUUUCUAAGGCUGAGACACGACGUCGAGCACCUACGGGUGUGAAGUCAUUGAUGCCAUGCUUCCAGGAAAAGCCUCUAAGCUUCAGAUUGUAAGGAAUCGUACCCCAAACCGACACAGGUGGUCGGGUAGAGAAUACCAAGGCGCUUGAGAGAACUCGGGUGAAGGAACUAGGCAAAAUGGUACCGUAACUUCGGGAGAAGGUACGCUCUUGAUGGUGAAGUCCCUCGCGGAUGGAG
rnacentral:rRNA from 1 species